rnacentral:rRNA from 1 species
UGCGUAGGCGGUUUGUUAAGUCAUUUGUAAAAGAUCUCAGCUCAACUGAGUAAGGCAGAUGAAACUGGCAGACUUGAAUACGGUAGAGGUAAGUGGAAUUCCAUGUGUAGCGGUGGAAUGCGUAGAUAUAUGGAGGAACACCAAUGGCGAAGGCAACUUACUGGGCCGGAAUUGACGCUGAGGCACGAAAGCGUGGGUAGCAAACAGGAUUAGAUACCCUGGUAGUCC